UGGGGAAUUUUGGACAAUGGGGGAAACCCUGAUCCAGCCAUCCCGCGUGUGCGAUGAAGGCCUUCGGGUUGUAAAGCACUUUUGGCAGGAAAGAAACGUCAUGGGUUAAUACCCCGUGAAACUGACGGUACCUGCAGAAUAAGCACCGGCUAACUACGUGCCAGCAGCUGCGGUAAUACGUAGGGUGCAAGCGUUAAUCGGAAUUACUGGGCGUAAAGCGUGCGCAGGCGGAUCGGAAAGAAAGAUGUGAAAUCCCAGAGCUCAACUUUGGAACUGCAUUUUUAUCUACCGGGCUAGAGUGUGUCAGAAGGAGGUGGAAUUCCGCGUGUAGCAGUGAAAUGCGUAAAUAUGCGGAGGAACACCGAUGGCGAAGGCAGCCUCCUGGGAUAACACUGACGCUCAUGCACGAAAGCGUGGGGAGCAAACAGG
rnacentral:rRNA from 1 species